GGUUCAGGACGAACGCUGGCGGCGUGCUUAACACAUGCAAGUCGAACGGGAGUAUUGAAGAAGCUUGCUUAGAGAUACUUUAGUGGCGGACGGGUGAGUAACGCGUGAGGAGCUGUCCUAUGCAGGGGGACAACAGCUGGAAACGGCUGCUAAUACCCCAUAAGCCGAGAGGUAAAAGGAUCAAUCCGGCAGAGGAGGUACUCGCGUCCUAUCAGCUAGUAGGUGAGGUAACGGCUCACCUAGGCGAAGACGGGUAGCCGGCCUGAGAGGGCGAACGGCCACACUGGAACUGAGAUACGGUCCAGACUCCUACGGGAGGCAGCAGUGGGGAAUAUUGGGCAAUGGGGGAAACCCUGAACCCCCAGCGACGCCGCGUGGGUGAAGAAAUCCUUCGGGAUGUAAAGCCCUGUUGUAUGGGAAGAGCGGAAGACGGUACCAUACGAGGAAGCCCCGGCAAACUACGUGCCAGCAGCAGC
rnacentral:rRNA from 1 species